GACGAACGCUGGCGGCGUGCCUAAUACAUGCAAGUCGAACGCAGGGGGGACGGGGGAGUAACACGUGGGUAACCUCCCAUCAGAGGGGAGAACACUUGGAAACAGGUGCUAAACCGCUACUGAUGGAUGAACCCGCGGGGGAUUAGCUAGAUGGUGGGGUAAAGGCUCACCAAGGCCACGAUGCAUAGCCGACCUGAGAGGGGGACCGGCCACACUGGGACUGAGACACGGCCCAGACUCCUACGGGAGGCAGCAGUAGGGAAUAUUCGGCAAUGGACGAAAGUCUGACCGAGCCACGCCGCGUGAGUGAAGAAGGUUUUCGGAUCGUAAAACUCUGUUGUUUGAGAAGCGGUAUCUAACCAGAAAGCCACGGCUAACUACGUGCCAGCAGCCGCGGUAAUAC
rnacentral:rRNA from 1 species